GCUUGUCUCAAAGAUUAAGCCAUGCAUGUCUAAGUAUAAGCGACUAUACUGUGAAACUGCGAAUGGCUCAUUAAAUCAGUUAUGGUUUAUUUGAUGGUACCUACUACUUGGAUAACCGUAGUAAUUCUAGAGCUAAUACAUGCAGGAAGACCCGACUCACGGAGAGAUGCUUUUAUUAGAUCAAAACCAAACGGCUUCGGCCGUCUCAUUGGUGACUCUGAAUAACUUUGGGCUGAUCGUAUGGCCUUGUGCCGACGACGUUUCCUUCGAAGGUGUGCCCUAUCAACUGUCGACUGUGAUAUAGACGCUCACAGUGGUUUUGACGGGUAACGGGGAAUCAGGGUUCGAUUCCGGAGAGGGAGCCUUAAAAACGGCUACCACAUCCAAGGAAGGCAGCAGG
rnacentral:rRNA from 1 species